rnacentral:lncRNA from 1 species
UAAAUUAAAUAAAAAAUAGGUUCAAAAAAUAAAAACGUUAAUUUUAACGACGAUAACGCUUCUAGCUGAACCCUAAACCUUAAAUUUUAAAUUCUAAACCAUAUACCCUAAAUUCUAAACCCAAAUCCAAAUUCAUAAACCCAAACCCUAUACCCUAAACCCAAAUCCAAACCCAUAAACCCAAAUUAUAUACCCUAAACCCAAAAACAAAACUAUAAACCUAAACUUUAUACCCUAAACCAAGUUCUAGACCCUAAACCCAAACCGUAAACCUUAAACCCAAAUUAUAUAUCCUAAACCCAAAACUUUAACCAUAAAUCCAAACGGUAAAUCAUAAACCCAAACCGUAAAUCCUAAACUCAAAACCUAUACCCUAAACUCAAAUCCUAGACCCA